rnacentral:rRNA from 1 species
CCUACGGGAGGCUGCAGUGGGGAAUAUUGCACAAUGGGGGAAACCCUGAUGCAGCAACGCCGCGUGAGGGAAGACGGUUUUCGGAUUGUAAACUUCUGUUCUCAGGGAAGAACAAUGACGGUAGCUAACGAGCAAGCCACGGCUAACUACGUGCCAGCAGCCGCGGUAAUACGUAGGUGGCAAGCGUUGUCCGGAAUUACUGGGUGUAAAGGGAGCGCAGGCGGGGAGCUAAGUCAGCUGUGAAAGCUACGGGCUUAACUUGUAGACUGCAUUUGAAACUGGUGUUCUUGAGUGAAGGAGGGGUUGGCGGAAUUCCGAGUGUAGCGGUGAAAUGCGUAGAUAUUCGGAGGAACACCGGUGGCGAAGGCGGCCAACUGGGCGUUAACUGACGCUGAGGCUCGAAAGUGUGGGGAGCAAACAGGAUUAGAUACCCGGGUAGUC